AAGCGUAACGGAGGAGCACGAAGGUUAGCUAAUCCUGGUCGGACAUCAGGAGGUUAGUGCAAUGGCAUAAGCUAGCUUGACUGCGAGCGUGACGGCGCGAGCAGGUGCGAAAGCAGGUCAUAGUGAUCCGGUGGUUCUGAAUGGAAGGGCCAUCGCUCAACGGAUAAAAGGUACUCCGGGGAUAACAGGCUGAUACCGCCCAAGAGUUCAUAUCGACGGCGGUGUUUGGCACCUCGAUGUCGGCUCAUCACAUCCUGGGGCUGAAGUAGGUCCCAAGGGUAUGGCUGUUCGCCAUUUAAAGUGGUACGCGAGCUGGGUUUAGAACGUCGUGAGACAGUUCGGUCCCUAUCUGCCGUGGGCGCUGGAGAAUUGAGGGGGGCUGCUCCUAGUACGAGAGGACCGGAGUGGACGCAUCACUGGUGUUCGGGUUGUCAUGCCAAUGGCACUGCCCGGUAGCUAAAUGCGGAAGAGAUAAGUGCUGAAAGCAUCUAAGCACGAAACUUGCCCCGAGAUGAGUUCUCCCUGAGACUUUAAGUCUCCUGAAGGAACGUUGAAGACGACGACGUUGAUAGGCCGGGUGUGUAAGCGCAGCGAUGCGUUGAGCUAACCGGUACUAAUGAACCGUGAGGCUUAACCUUACAACGCCGAAG
rnacentral:rRNA from 1 species